rnacentral:rRNA from 1 species
UGAAUACGAGACGCUAAGGCGUCGAAGUAGUGUACGUCAUACUUCCAAGAAAAGCUUGCACUGUCAUAGAUAAAAACGCCUGUACCAUAACCGACACAGGUGGGUAGGUAGAGUAUACUAAGGGGCGCGAGAUAACUCUCUCUAAGGAACUCGGCAAAAUAACUCCGUAACUUCGGGAGAAGGAGUGCCUUAUUCGUAAGGUUGCAAUAACAAGAUCCAAGCAACUGUUUAUCAAAAACACAGGUCUCCGCUAAGUCGUAAGACGAUGUAUGGGGGCUGACGCCUGCCCAGUGCCAGAAGGUUAAAGAAGUUGGUUAGCAAUUGCGAAGCUGAUAACUGAAGCCCUGGUGAACGGCGGCCGUAACUAUAACGGUCCUAAGGUAGCGAAAUUCCUUGUCGGGUAAGUUCCGACCCGCACGAAAGGCGUAAUGAUUUGGAUACUGUCUCGGAGAGGGGCUCGGUGAAAUAGACUUGUCUGUGAAGAUGCGGACUACCUGCACCAGGACAGAAAGACCCUAUGAAGCUUUACUGUAACUUGAAAUUGAAAUUGGACUUUAUUCGCGCAGUAUAGGUGGGAGGCGUUGAUUAUAAUCUUGUGGGAUUAUUGGAGCCAUCAGUGAGAUACCACUCUUGUAAUGUUAGAUUUCUAACUUUGAAUCAUUAUCUGGUCAAAGAACAGUUUCAGGCGGGCAGUUUGACUGGGGCGGUCGCCUCCUAAACGGUAACGGAGGCGUACAAAGGUUUCCUCUGAACGGUUAGAAAUCGUAUCUAGAGUGUAAAGGCAUAAGGAAGCUUGACUGUGAGACCUACAAGUCGAGCAGGGACGAAAGUCGGUCUUAGUGAUCUGACGGUACUGAGUGGAAAGGCCGUCACUCAACGGAUAAAAGUUACUCUAGGAUAACAGGCUGAUCUCCCCCGAGAGUUCACAUCGACGGGGAGGUUUGGCACCUCGAUGUCGGCUCAUCGCAUCCUGGGGCGGUAGUACGUCCCAAGGGUUGGGCUGUUCGCCCAUGAAAGCGGUACGCGAGCUGGGUUCAGAACGUCGUGAGACAGUUCGGUCCAUAUCCGGUGUAGGCGUUAGAAUAUUGAGAGGAGCCUUCUUUAGUACGAGAGGACCGAGAAGGACAUACCUCUGGUGUACCAGUUAUCGUGCCAACGGUAAACGCUGGGUAGCUAUGUAUGGAGUGGAUAACCGCUGAAAGCGUCUAAGUGGGAGGCCCACCUCAAGAUAAG